GACGAACGCUGGCGGCGUGCUUAACACAUGCAAGUCGAACGGAAAGGCCCUGCUUUUGUGGGGUGCUCGAGUGGCGAACGGGUGAGUAACACGUGAGUAACCUGCCCUUGACUUUGGGAUAACUUCAGGAAACUGGGGCUAAUACCGGAUAGGAUCUCCUGCUGCAUGGUGGGGGUUGGAAAGAUUCGGCGGUUGGGGAUGGACUCGCUGGUUAUCAGCUUGUUGGUGGGGUAGUGGCUUACCAAGGCUUUGACGGGUAGCCGGCCUGAGAGGGUGACCGGCCACAUGGGGACUGAGAGACGGCCCAGACUCCUACGGGAGGCAGCAGUGGGGAAUAUUGCACAAUGGGCGGAAGCCUGAUGCAGCAACGCCGCGUGCGGGAUGACGGCCUUCGGGUUGUAAACCGCUUUCGCCUGUGACGAAGCGUGAGUGACGGUAAUGGGUAAAGAAGCACCGGCUAACUACGUG
rnacentral:rRNA from 1 species